AUACCGGCAGCUCGAGUGAUGACCGAUUUUAUUGGGCCUAAAGCGUCCGUAGCCGGCCAGGCAAGUCUGUUGGGAAAUCUGCUCGCUCAACGAGCAGGCGUCCAGCGGAUACUGCCUGGCUCGGGACCGAGAGACCCAAGGGGUACGUCUGGGGUAGGAGUGAAAUCCUGUAAUCCUGGACGGACCGCCGAUGGCGAAAGCACCUUGGGAGAUCGGAUCCGACGGUGAGGGACCGAAAGCUGGGGGCACGAACCGGAUUAGAUACCCGGGUAGUCCCAGCUGUAAACGAUGCCAGUUAGGUUUGGCGCGGGCUACGAGCUCGUGCUGUGCCGCAGUGAAGACGAUAAACUGGCCGCCUGGGAAGUACGUCCGCAAGGAUGAA
rnacentral:rRNA from 2 species